AAUGGCGAAAUCGUCGCAUUUAGCGAAUCAGCAAUGCGUCAUAAUGGAGCGGUCCUCGAAUAUAUUCGAACAUCUGUUUCUGUAUUGGCGAGAAUCAACAGCAGCUAUCAACUAAAUAGAAAACUGAGUCGAGAAAAAGACAUGGCGCUCUAGGCCGGGCCGCAGAUGAAAGCAAAGGACAAUAACAAGCUUAGACGGCUCAGAGUGGCUGUUCGGCUGGGAUAAUGGGUCUUACCUCGUUGUACGGCUUUCUAUUUUACUUCGUUGUAGCUGUUGUUCUCUGGGC